UGCUGCUGAUGUGUUAUCUUUGUUAUUGGGCGCACCAGAAAACACAUCAGCAGCGUCGUACAUCAGCGAUGAACAGAGGUCUUACGGGUUCAGAACGACAUUAGGGUGAGUCAUUAAUGACAUAAUGUUAAUUUUUGGGUGAACUAACCCUUUAAGUGAUGAGCAGACCACUAGGUGGCACUAUUAAUUAAACAGAUUCACUUAUUCGAGAGAGCCACUUAAUAAAGAAAUAUAGUAUUAUUGAACUGAAAAAAAAAACGUAACUAAAAUUACAGAGCGGUUAUUUAUUCAGUUAUAACAAAACCCUUACUCAUCAUCUUAACACAUUUGCUUUUCAGCUGCUGAAUGCUUUUAAUGUGCUAAAUGCCUUCAACUCAUUGACCAUGCAAGGCAGCCUGUAAGAUAUUCUCCUUAUCAUUUUUAUCUUAGAUUUUUAUUUGACCAUCUGAAUGUAAAUAAAGUAAAAAUAAAGACUUGAAAUACUUUUUUGUUGUUUAUUUAUUUGAUAAGAUUUACAAUGAUUUGUAACCAAGAUCUUCAUGUUUCUUCUCUUUUGUCACACAGUUACACAGGCAUAAGUACAUACGCUCACAAUUUCACAGUCUCUCUUAGUUCUGUGUUUUCCACCCUCAAAGUUCAAAGCAUAAUUUCUACGCUGUUGACAAAUCGAACCAUUUACAGUCUCAGUGUUAAGUCACUAGGCAUGGUAUACAUGGAGGCACCUACAGGAAAAGUGUGUUACAAUUCAAGACAACAGCUGAACUGUACCAGUAUAGAGGCUAUGAGCAAGUGCGUGUGGCAGAUGUCCAGAGAUGAUGAAGCGACAUUGACUCUGGGACCAGGGAGUGAAGUACAGCUGUCAGAUACUUGUACAGAACUCUCAACAGUCACUCUUCUAAAGACAAAUGGAUUCUGGUCAGGUGUGUUGAAUGUAAUCAUAUAUAUGAGUGAAGCGUGAUGCCAUUUAUGAUACUGUGACCUUUUGUUCUCAAUUAUCAUUUUCUUUAUAUUCCAGGAACAUACAUCUGCCUUUUCGUCGCUGGGAACAUAGCUCACAUGGCCAUGGCACCCAUUCAAAUUGCACUUCUGCCAGAGGUCAUUAAUGUGACAAGCAAUCCACAAACUGCAGAUUGUUCUGCAUCAUCAUCCACCAAAGUUAGCAUCUUAUGUUCCAUCGAAAACAGCACUGAAACCUACAAAGCCAUGCUAAAACUCGGACCUGCUGAAAUUGCACCACUUAAAGAAGGUAAGGCUAUAAUUAUCUUAUAAAUCUCUCUUUUGUUGGAACAAGAAGCUGACGUUUUAUUAUCUUGGUUGCACUUUAUUUUACAGUACGUGUACUUACAUGUACUUAUAGUGUACUUACAAUGUAUUUAUCUAAGAACGUUAUGGUAAUACAAGGUAAGUACAUGGGGUAGGGUUAGGUUUAGGGGUAGGUUCAGGGUUAGUACCUAGUUAUUACAUAGUUAUUGUAAUUACUAAAAUAAGUACAUAGUAUGUACAUGAGGAACAGGACUGUAAAAUAAAGUGCUACCAUUAUCUUUAUAAAGCAAAUAAUCAACUGAGUCUGCAAGUCACAUAACAUUUAUAUUAUUUUUAUAUAAACAUAUAUAAUUGACAGUUUUUGUAAUUGAGCAAUUUACCAAGUAUUGCAAAUGUAAACCUGUUCUAAGUCAAGCAUUAUUAAAAUGUGUAAAAUUCUCUCUCUCUCUUCUUUUUUUUUUUUUUUGUUCAGAGAACAAUAGGAAGUAAUACAAAUAAUACAGCAGACUAUUAAUUAAAUGUAGUAAAUCUCUCUCUCUCUCUUUUUUUUUUUUUUUGUGCAGAGAACAAUGGAAUAAUCAAAUAUACAGCAGAUUUCACUGUUGAUUGUCAGGCAGAAGGCAAACCAAGUUCACUUGAGGCCAGCUGCACUUUAGAGAACUCUUUGAAUCAGCUGCGAAAUCACACAAUAAGAGUACCAAUCAUUUACCGUAAGUACUGAAAAUCAUGCUCUGCUAUUGCAAAAGAAUACCAUUGUACAAAACCCCUUGGUGACUGGUAAAGUAAAAAUCUAAUGUUUGGAUGAUUCAUUUGUUUGUUUGUUUGU
rnacentral:lncRNA from 1 species